GGGAAGAGGGGCUCCAUGCCACUGCCCUGCAAAUCCACUCUGUACGGUACCGCCGAUCGGUCCUUUGCAGCAGCCUCCUCUUUCCCAAGCUGGGCAAGCAGCAUAUGGGGCCCAGCUCUCGUGCCUCCACUGUCGUGGAAGUCCCACACGGAUGGCAAAGCAGGAACGGCCCCGCCGAGCAGAGUCGGGGGCCACGGCCACACCCCCAUCUACUACCGUGCGGCUCCGUCCGCCCGGGAGCCAGGGCUCCACUAUGAGCACCUCGACUCUCCGGGCCACCCCCAGGCGACUGUGGGGGCCGACGCGCGGGCGGGGCGGG
rnacentral:lncRNA from 10 species